UACCUCUACCUUGCUGACGAACAGAAGGUGUUCAUCAGUAAUAAGGUAGUCUUUUUAGAAAAGAAGUUUCUUAGUAAAGAAACUAAUACCUCAAAGAUUGAACUUGAUAAAAUUUGAUUGAUAGAAGAACCGAUACAAUCUAGUAAACCCAUAGAGUCAACUUGAUUAGAUCAAAUUCGAAACCUAUUGUAGAACCAUCUUUAAGA
rnacentral:lncRNA from 1 species